UACGUAGGGGCGCAAGCGUUUAUCCGGAAUUAUUGGGCGUAAAGAGCUCGUAGGCGGUUUGUCGCGUCUGCCGUGAAAGUCCGGGGCUCAACUCCGGAUCUGCGGUGGGUACGGGGCAGACUAGAGUGAUGUAGGGGAGACUGGAAUUCCUGGUGUAGCGGUGAAAUGCGCAGAUAUCAGGAGGAACACCGAUGGCGAAGGCAGGUCUCUGGGCAUUAACUGACGCUGAGGAGCGAAAGCAUGGGGAGCGAACAGG
rnacentral:rRNA from 1 species